GGUAAAAUGGCUGAGAUUAAAGGUAAUAAACUGUAAAUUUAUUUAGGAAAUUUUUAUUUCUUUUACCA
rnacentral:tRNA from 1 species